UACAAUGGAGAGUUUGAUCCUGGCUCAGGACGAACGCUGGCGGCGUGCUUAACACAUGCAAGUCGAACGAGAACUCCCGCUUCGGCGGGACAGACAGUGGCGAACGGGUGAGUAAUACGUAGGUAAUCUGCCCUCGAGUGGGGAAUAAUUCCGGGAAACCGGUUGUAAUACCGCAUAAUAUCCCGCUGGGACAUCCCGGUGGGAUUAAAGGCUUCGGCCGCUUGAGGAUGAGCCUGCGUCCCAUUAGCUUGAUGGUAAGGUAACGGCUUACCAUGGCUGUGAUGGGUAGCUGGUCUGAGAGGACGAUCAGCCACACUGGGACUGAGAUACGGCCCAGACUCCUACGGGAGGCAGCAGUGGGGAAUAUUGCGCAAUGGACGAAAGUCUGACGCAGCAACGCCGCGUGGGCGAUGAAGCUCUUAUGAGUGUAAAGCCCUGUUAGGAGGGACGAACAAUCCCGCUUCGGCGGGACCUGACGGUACCUCCAGAGAAAGCUCCGGCUAACUCCGUGCCAGCAGCCGCGGUAAUACGGGGGGAGCGAGCGUUGUCCGGAUUCAUUGGGCGUAAAGGGCGUGUAGGUGGAUUUGUAAGUGAGUGGUGAAAUCCCGGGGCUUAACUCCGGAACUGCCUUUCAUACUGCAAGUCUCGAGUGCGAGAGGGGGAGAUGGAAUUCCUGGUGUAGCGGUGGAAUGCGUAGAUAUCAGGAGGAACACCGGUGGCGAAGGCGAUCUCCUGGCUCGUAACUGACACUGAGGCGCGAAAGCGUGGGGAGCAAACAGGAUUAGAUACCCUGGUAGUCCACGCUGUAAACGAUGGGCACUAGGUGUUGGAGGAGUUCGACCCCUUCAGUGCCGUAGCUAACGCAUUAAGUGCCCCGCCUGGGGAGUACGAUCGCAAGGUUGAAACUCAAAGGAAUUGACGGGGGCCCGCACAAGCGGUGGAGUAUGUGGUUUAAUUCGAUGCAACGCGAAGAACCUUACCUGGGCUUGAACUGCAGACGACCACCCACCGAAAGGUGGACUUCCCUUCGGGGACGUCUGUAGAGGUGCUGCAUGGCUGUCGUCAGCUCGUGUCGUGAGAUGUUGGGUUAAGUCCCGCAACGAGCGCAACCCUUGUCGUUAGUUGCCAUCAGGUUAUGCUGGGAACUCUAACGAGACUGCCCGCGUUAAGCGGGAGGAAGGUGGGGAUGACGUCAAGUCCUCAUGGCCCUUACGUCCAGGGCUACACACGUACUACAAUGGCCGGUACAGAGGGUCGCAAUACCGCGAGGUGGAGCCAAUCCCAAAAAACCGGUCUCAGUUCGGAUUGCAGUCUGCAACUCGACUGCAUGAAGGAGGAAUCGCUAGUAAUCGCAGAUCAGCACGCUGCGGUGAAUACGUUCCCGGGCCUUGUACACACCGCCCGUCACACCAUGGAAGCCGAUAGUACCCAAAGUCGCUGGGCUAACCUUCGGGAGGCAGGCGCCUAAGGUAAGAUUGGUAACUGGGGUGAAGUCGUAACAAGGUAGCCGUAUCGGAAGGUGCGGCUGGAUCACCUCCUUUCUAA
rnacentral:rRNA from 1 species